rnacentral:rRNA from 1 species
AACGAACGCUGGCGGCAGGCCUUAUACAUGCAAGUCGAGCGCUCACUUCGGUGGGAGCGGCGGACGGGUGAGUAACGCGUGGGAAUAUGCCCUUCUCUACGGAAUAGCCUCGGGAAACUGAGAGUAAUACCGUAUACGCCCUUCGGGGGAAAGAUUUAUCGGAGAAGGAUUAGCCCGCGUUAGAUUAGGUAGUUGGCGGGGUAAUGGCCUACCAAGCCUACGAUCUAUAGCUGGUUUGAGAGGAUGAUCAGCCACACUGGGACUGAGACACGGCCCAG